rnacentral:rRNA from 1 species
GUCCUAGCCCUAAACGAUGGAUACUUGCUGUGGGGGUAUUAAAUCCUCCUGUGGCGGAGCUAACGCGUUAAGUAUCCCGCCUGGGGAGUACGGUCGCAAGUCUGAAACUCAAAGGAAUUGACGGGGCCCGCACAAGCGGUGGAGCAUGUGGUUCAAUUCGACGCAACGCGAAGAACCUUACCUGGGCUUGAACUCUAGUCGAAUCAGGCAGAGAAGCUUGAGUCCUUUACGGGACGGCUGGAGAGGUGCUGCAUGGCUGUCGU